AAUGACUCUCGGCAACG
rnacentral:rRNA from 1 species